rnacentral:rRNA from 1 species
CCGCACAAGCGGAGGAACAUGUGGUUUAAUUCGAUGAUACGCGAGGAACCUUACCUGGGCUUAAAUGCAGAGUGCAUGAAGUGGAAACACUUCUUCCCUUCGGGGCUCUUUGCAAGGUGCUGCAUGGUUGUCGUCAGCUCGUGCCGUGAGGUGUCGGGUUAAGUCCCAUAACGAGCGCAACCCUUAUCGUUAGUUGCCAGCGGGUAAAGCCGGGAACUCUAGCGAAACUGCCGGUGUAAACCGAGAGGAAGGUGGGAUGACGUCAAAUCAGCACGGCCCUUAUGUCCAGGGCUACACACGUGUUACAAUGGCCGGUACAGAGGGCAGCUACCUGGAGACAGGAUGCGAAUCUCGAAAGCCGGUCUCAGUUCGGAUCGGAGUCUGCAACUCGACUCCGUGAAGCUGGAUUCGCUAGUAAUCGCGCAUCAGCCAUGGCGCGGUGAAUACGUUCCCGGGCCUU